rnacentral:rRNA from 1 species
CACGUAGGGGGCAAGCGUUGUCCGGAUUUAUUGGGCGUAAAGAGCUCGUAGGUGGUUCGGUAAGUCGGGUGUUAAACCCCCAGGCUCAACCUGGGGACGCCACUCGAUACUGCUGUGACUAGAGUCCGGUAGGGGAGCGUGGAAUUCCUGGUGUAGCGGUGAAAUGCGCAGAUAUCAGGAGGAACACCAGUGGCGAAGGCGGUGCUCUGGGCCGAAACUGACGCUGAGGAGCGAAAGCGUGGGUAGCAAACAGG